UUGAACGCUGGCGGAAUGCUUUACACAUGCAAGUCGAACGGCAGCACGGGGGCAACCCUGGUGGCGAGUGGCGAACGGGUGAGUAAUACCUAGGAACAUGUCCAGUAAUGGGGGAUAACGCAGCGAAAGCUGUGCUAAUACCGCAUACGCCCCAUGGGGGAAAGCGGGGGAUCGCAAGACCUCGCGCGAUUGGAGUGGCCGAUGUCAGAUUAGCUAGUUGGUGGGGUAAAGGCCUACCAAGGCGACGAUCUGUAGCGGGUCUGAGAGGAUGAUCCGCCACACUGGGACUGAGACACGGCCCAGACUCCUACGGGAGGCAGCAGUGGGGAAUUUUGGACAAUGGGCGAAAGCCUGAUCCAGCCAUGCCGCGUGCGGGAAGAAGGCCUUCGGGUUGUAAACCGCUUUCAGCCGGAAAGAAAUCGCCACUUCUAAUACGAGUGGUGGAUGACGGUACCGGAAGAAGAAGCACCGGCUAACUACGU
rnacentral:rRNA from 1 species